rnacentral:rRNA from 1 species
AGAGUUUGAUCAUGGCUCAGGACGAACGCUGGCGGCGUGCUUAACACAUGCAAGUCGAGCGGAAAGGCCCCUUCGGGGGUACUCGAGCGGCGAACGGGUGAGUAACACGUGAGAAACCUGCCCUUAGCUCUGGGAUAGCUCCGGGAAACCGGGAUUAAUACCGGAUACGACCACGGUCGGCCUCGACCGUGGUGGAAAGGUUUAUCGGCUAGGGAUGGUCUCGCGGCCUAUCAGCUUGUUGGUGAGGUAACGGCUCACCAAGGCGACGACGGGUAGCCGGCCUGAGAGGGCGACCGGCCACACUGGGACUGAGACACGGCCCAGACUCCUACGGGAGGCAGCAGUGGGGAAUAUUGCGCAAUGGGCGAAAGCCUGACGCAGCAACGCCGCGUGGGGGAUGAAGGCCUUCGGGUUGUAAACCCCUUUCAGCAGGGACGAAGCGAAAGUGACGGUACCUGCAGAAGAAGCGCCGGCUAACUACGUGCCAGCAGCCGCGGUAAUACGUAGGGCGCAAGCGUUGUCCGGAAUCAUUGGGCGUAAAGAGCUCGUAGGUGGUCUGUUACGUCUGCUGUGAAAUCCUAGGGCUUAACCCUGGGCCUGCAGUGGAUACGGGCAGACUAGAGGUAGGUAGGGGAGAAUGGAAUUCCCGGUGUAGCGGUGAAAUGCGCAGAUAUCGGGAGGAACACCGGUGGCGAAGGCGGUUCUCUGGGCCUUACCUGACACUGAGGAGCGAAAGCGUGGGGAGCGAACAGGAUUAGAUACCCUAGUAGUCC